UUGAGAACUAGUAUGAACGGUUUCAUAGGCCAAAUCAGUUUGUUUUUUUUUUUGUAUAUUAAAGAUAAAGUAAAAAUUCUUUAAUUAAUUAAGGGACGAUAAAACCCUAAAAGCUUUAAAAUUAGUUUAAGUUUAAUGUUUUUUUAGUAUAUUAAUUCACUGGGGAAGUGUUUAUAUUUAAAUUAUAAAAUAAUUAAAAGGUUCUUUAAAUAAAGAUUUAUUGGGCUAGUUACUUUAGGGAUAACAGUGCAAUAUUUUUGGGGAGACCACAUCUAUAAAAAUGUUUGCAACCUCGAUGUUGAAUUAGGAUUUCUUUACAAGUAAAAUAUGUGAGAGAGAGUUUGUUCAACUUUUAAAUUUCUACAUGAUCUGAGUUCAAACCGG
rnacentral:rRNA from 1 species